rnacentral:rRNA from 1 species
UACGUGCCAGCAGCCGCGGUAAUACGUAGGGUGCAAGCGUUAAUCGGAAUUACUGGGCGUAAAGGGUGCGCAGGCGGUUCUGUAAGUCAGAUGUGAAAUCCCCGGGCUUAACCUGGGAACUGCGUUUGAAACUGCAGGGCUAGAGUGCGGCAGAGGGAGGUGAAUUCCAUGUGUAGCAGUGAAAUGCGUAGAGAUAUGGAAGAACAUCGAUGGCGAAGGCAACCUCCUGGGCUAGCACUGACGCUCAUGCACGAAAGCGUGGGGAGCAAACAGGAUUAGAUACCCUGGUAGUCCACGCCCUAAACUAUGUCAACUAGUUGUCGGGUCUUAUUAGACUUGGUAACGUAGCUAACGCGUGAAGUUGACCGCCUGGGGAGUACGGUCGCAAGAUUAAAACUCAAAGGAAUUGACGGGGG